ensembl:lncRNA
GUUAGCUCUUAGCCUGCAAGAGAAUCAGAGCCUGGAGAGCAUUGGGAAGCACUGGGAGAAAUGAGCAGUUCACACCAGAUUUUUGAAACUAGAGAUGUGGCUGUCGAUCAGCAGGUACAGGGUUGAGGCAGUGAGCAAGAGAUCAAUUCUCCCUGUCCUUGCGCAAGAGGACAAAACGUAAUGGAAUUCCCUAUGUUACAAGUGAGAAGAAAUUUCUCAGUGCUAGAAGAUAGGGAAGCCUUGGAACAGAUGGCCUGGGGAUCUGGUGGCAUUUCAGCUGCUGGCAAUCACUGCAGAGGGAGAGAGAGACAAGUCUGUCAAAAAUGACAUAGAUAUAAUAGAGCCUCCCUCUUGGCAAGGCAGCGGGUCAGGUCGCCUCUUAAUUCUCUUUCCUGGCUGGCUCACUCUGUGUGUGCAACUGCAAACCAGAGGGAACAGAAAUGCUGUGAUUUGCAUGGACUGGUCCUCCCAGAAGCUGAAAACAAAAAUGCAGAGCAGUUUUUGAUGGACACAAAAAGAAUGAAAUCCUAAUGAGGGUAGUGAAGAAUUAUAACUGCAAAGAAUGAAGAGACAAAGAUUAAAAGUGGAAAAGAAUAUACAUAUUUUUAAAUAAAAUCUUCUGGACUACUGACAUCUUUGUAAUUAUGUGUUGGGACAGUGUUUCCUAUUAUUUUAGAAUUUCUUCAGUCAUUUGGGGACAAGAGCAAAGCCAAACAAGGGAGCAGCUAAGUGCGUAGAGGAGAUAUCUUCAGCUGUUACCCAUCAUUUCUGGAUGUGGGCGAGGAGUUAGGCAAGUUAAAGUCUAGAAUUAUUCUCAGGUGUUGGAUAAAGAGAAGAGUCCCAACUCUAUUAAUGUCUUCUCUGGUCCCAUCUAUGGCUUUACUCUGCAAAACUCUUUCUGUUCUGGAUUUGGGACCCCAACAACUGCAGGCUCCUGUAGGCCUUCUCAUCCCUGCGCUGUUCAGUGACCUACACUGAAGACAGCAGGAAGAUGGUGAUGCCCCUACAAUUAAUUGCCAGAAUAUGUGGAAAAAGAAGCAAAGAUGAUGUGGAGUGUGAAGGUCACUGCAGGGAGGAUGUGCUGAGUCUUACUGUGAACAUUAAAGGAAAAUCUAAACCUGCUCAGGAAUUAUGGGCUCUUGAACUCUGACUGACCUCCUCCAGUAGAUUUGCUUUUAGAGAAUAUUGUUUGAUUAGUGAUAUUAGGUACUGAAUGCUCUGUAGCUCAUCUGAGUGGAUUGACAAGUAAGGGAAUAGAUUGCUCUGUGAAAAAUAAUAAUAGUAAUAAUCCAAAGAUGAUUUUCUAAGUGUUGAAAAUCCCAUGCAAAAACCUUUUCUCAUAGGCAGAUCCUAUUCACUUAAGUGAAACAAUAACUUGGUUUCAGAGGAAAAAAAAAGUAUAUGAAAACAAUUGUCCCUUUUUCAAGAUAGUCUUGCAGCAAGCCUGAGGUUAACAGUAUGUGUUCGAUUCAUCGUAAUUACUAGAAAUGUUUCAUCCAUUCAGAAGCCUUUGCAAUACCCCCAGGACUGCUAAGCUUUAAUAUAAGCUGUUUUUCUCUUUUAUUUCUGUUUUUUCUCUCACAUGAUUUCCCCUUUUCUUUACUCUAGGUGUCGAGCUUUUGUUGAUUUUUUUCACUUGGAAAGGUAACAGUAAAGUGAUGGUGUUUCACAUCUUUUAUCUGAAUUUCUAGAGUCGAAUUCUUACAAAGAAACUAUUUCUUGAUAAAAUUAUUUCACAGGUUUUCUAGUGAAUGAGUUUGAUCAAUCAGUAGUUCCCGUUUGAUAGAGUAUACAAAUGAUGUUGUGGUACAUGAUAAUCUUCGGGUUUUCCCACUACCUAGCAGAAUGCUGGUACCGAGGUGGGAGUGUGGAAAUAGAAAAACUGACAGGCCAGACAAAUGAACAAUUAAGUUUGUGUACCGAGGUCUGUGGCAACGUAAUAGAAUGAGGUGGAAUACGUGCCCGGAAUAUCAAAAUUUUACAUGCUAGUUUAAAGUGUCCCAGGAGAGCUGUGGGGAUAGAUACUGCAUGGAAAGUGAGCAGUGUUCUCAUUACAGCAGAUUAUGUUACUUAUCAGUAGCCUGAAUAUGGGAAAAUAAGACUGGAACUGUUUGAAAAUAAGUGAAUAUGCAUAUUUUUCUAAACCAAAAUACUGCUUAUUUGCAGGGUGUAUAUUUUGAAGUAAUGACUGGUCAAAGAGGAGUAUCAGUGCAUUUCAAGGAGCAAAGUGUGAGAGAUUUUCAGCUUGAUCUCAGGUAAGAGCCUGGCAGGUUGUGCUGAUAAAUCAUGUCAUAGAAGACACAAGUUCCAAAAGCUACCAUUCUCCAGCCAGAUCUGGAGGGUUAUGAGUGGUGAAAUGACAAUGAGAAGUGAAAAUGCUUGCUUCUAUCGGUUAUUUAAGUAAUUUCUCCUUCCAGAAAAUUGAUGUAGUCCACAUUGCAUACUGCACUGCACCUCCAGUUUGGACAGGAGAGGAGCUGUGUUAGCAAAUGCUCAACCAAAUGUAAAAACAUUGCUAAAGUAAUGGACUCCAACAAAGAUCCAAUUUCACUUUAGGGGUAAGUUAGUGUGUUUUCUUGCUGAUUAUUAUUAUUAUUUCUUUUUGCUUCUGGAUGUGUUUUUAUAGCCAGUAAACCGCAAACUGGAUGAUAGAAAGGAAACUGGAAUGUAAGUUGUAAAUAGCAUUAUUGACUAAAUACCAGUUGUAGGUUCUAUACUGCUCAUGCAUGAGCCAGAAAGCACAUCUUGGCUGAACAAUUUUAUUUCUAUUUUCAUAGAAGCAGCAGUUAAAAAAAAAAAAAUCAUUAUCACUUGUGUCUGAGCUGAUCGUGUUUGAUUUGGAAGUCACUGGGAUGCAAUAAACAGGAAACCCCAGGGUGCCAUUUUACUAAGACAGUUUUCAGAAAGGAACCACAGUUUCUGCUGCAAAGCACUGUUGAUUUACAUGGAUUUUCUUGACACAUGUUUUGGCAAAAUGUAUCAGCUUGUGCUUCUUAGCAUCAACAAAUAAUACUUGACUUGCAAACGAGCUCCUUGGCAAGUACCCAGCCACAGGAGGCUUGAAGAUUUGACUGAAUAAAAAAGACUUCCAUUUCACCAAUUUGUGAGCUGGCAUUGUCCCUGCCGUAGUCAUCUGCAGCCACUCUGUGCUCUUUGCUUCUCAAGCUCUUUUUUUCUUGGAUAGUGCAGCUAUUCAGCCUGUUAUUUCUUACCAAAUUCCAUGCAAUGAAAAUUAAACAUUUAUAUUUUCAAUUUCCAUAUAAAUGUCUUAAAGGACUCUCAGACUCAUCUGUGCUCUAAUGUUUGAGAGUGAUCUUUUCUCCGGUGGGAUGCUGGCAUUUGUCCUUCCCUGGAUAAGCCCUAGAUAAUGUUCAGCUUAAAAAAAAAAAAAAUAGCAACCACCUUUCUUUGUAUUUUCCCAGUGCACCUUUCUUCUUCUUAAGCUUAAAUAUAAUGAACAUAAACCCAUUUGGAAAUAAAAUUGUGCACUCGGUUAACUAAAAAAAAGUAAUUACAUUAUAAUCAAGCUGUCACUUCGUGAGAUAGUGGGAGAUGAAAUACACCAUAAACUGACAAAAGACGAGGAUGGUUUUCUCUUCUGAACAUCAUUCACAGCACAAAGCAGUGUAGAAAUUCUGAAUGACAAACAGCGUAACCAAGGAACCUCUUGGAGCUGGGGAAAGGGCCACGGCACAAGGUCUAGAAAAACAGAUUGGCUUUCGUGUAGUGGAAUAAGGGAGCCUUAAACUGUGUGCAGAGCAAUGCGUAUGUAGGCUACUACUGUCCAUAGUCUGACAGCCCACCAGUACUGGAACAAAGGAUUAGAAACACUCAUCUUGAUUAGGAAAUAAACUGAAAGUAUGCAUCCUGCUUAGCAUGGAUGUCCCAUCUCUGUAGCUGUGGUGAUUUUCAAGGCAGAAUUAUCAGCCUUGGUUUCUUCACCUGAAGCCCUUAUGCCCUACCAAGCUGCCAGCAUGUAUUCAGCAGCUAAAUGGGCAGGUGAAUCAAGAUGAUCUGAAUGUGUGAGGGAUUGCUUUAUUCUUUGUUCUUGUCCUGCUCAUUCUUGGUACACUCGCACUGCACAUUGCCUUAGUACGAAUGGAAAUGCCUUGGUGUGAGGGGCAUUCUCAGUCCUGAGCAAUAAGAAGUAUGGGUAGCCCCUGGUUAGAUGACAGCACUCAGGUGGGAGAAAUUUUCCUCACUUCUCCUGGUCCUUGACAUGUGAGCUGCUUUCCUAUUGUGGAAUAAAGUCUUUUUUCCCCUCCCGAUGCAGUUUCUUUGAGAUGUGAGUCUGUUCCCUGCUAUCCUUUCUCUGCAGCACUGCAUCCUUUAUAUAGGUGUUCCUGUUAAUGGCCACUGAUCUGAAGUUUGAGAGCAAGCUGAUGGUAAACUGAGGGCACAAAUGUGUGGGGAGACAGAAAGAAGCUGGGAAUGUGCUUUUGGAUGCCCUCCUUGCCUUUUCAGAAGGGGUCAGGGAGUCUGCUCUCAUGGAUGGAUGGAAGAUGGCGUCAGGAUAGCCUCUCUUCUGCCAGUUACACAUCAAAUAGAGGAGAACUUGUUUGCACAGGGCCUUUCUUCUGAGAUAAAUGGUAACAUACUGGGAGGACCGUGCUGUGGAAGCGGUGAAGCUGAUACCUUUGUUCAGCGUCUUGCUUUUCUCUUUUCAUGCUAUGCAUACGGCUACAGAGCAGCACAACAUGCUGUGCUGUCCAUGCACAGCGUUAUCCACUGUUCGCAGAUGUAAGGAGACUCUUCUUGACUUUGAUUGUGCAAACACUGUGGCCAUUUGGACAUAAGAAGACCCAGUUGAAUAGAAAUUGAAGACAUACCUGUCCUAGUACCUCAGAUGGUCUGCUUUCCACAUUGUUGUUCUGAGAAGAUGAUGAUAGGGAAUCUGUUUUUUCUUCAUGCCCAUCUCUCUACAUGCAGACAAAUAUUGUCAAGAGUCCCCACAUUGCAGCAGAGCCUUGAGUGCGUGGCAUUGCCUGAAACGUGUGCUCCUUGAUUGAUCUGAAUCCUUAAGAACAGGGAAGGAUUAGUGAGUACUGCUUCUAUUAACUCCCUUUUGGUCCCACUGCCUUUCUGGCUUUUUCUGGCCAUUCUCAGAUUGACCUUGGGUUGUAACAGAUGCUGGGGAAAAAAAAAUACAAGGCUUUUAAAUACGUCAGAUAGCGCUCUCUUUAAAAAAAAGAAAAAAAAAAGUCUGUUUAAACAGCUGGGACUGGAGUUAAUUUGUGAAGGCCUGUUUGUGGUAUAAGUUCCAGAGGGAAAGCUGAAAUGAAGAAAGGAUAUAAUACCCUUCUUUAUGAAAAUAAACAAAACCCUUGAAGCUAGUAUUGCUUAACCCUAGCAUAGAAAGAUGCAGGACUUUUGCUUCUCUUUUUGCUAAGCAAAAUGUAUACAGAGAUUAUAUAUUUUUUUAAAGGUAGCAAGCAUCUUUGGAGAUGGUGCCAAAAAACUGGUAAAAUAGUAUACUCUGCCUUUUGGCUUACCCUACACUAAACAUUAUUAGUGUCCCACAGUCAGCUACAUCUUUCUGACAUUGAAUCCUCUUUGCACUCUGAAGAUCGUAACAAUGAAAUAAUUAAACUCAGAUACAUGACACUGUGGAGUCAUGACUGUGUAUGAGGACACAAUUCCCCAUCUGGACAAGGAGAAAUGUUCUAUAGCAGUUAUGGGCAGUUGUAAGUGAAGUAGCUAAUUCAUCGUAGUCACAAAAUCAGGGUGCAAAAUGACCCCACUUGGUUCAUGACACUGUCUAUAUCUAGGGAGUCUGCACAUGAGUUACGAAUUCCGGCUUGACUUAUUGAACCUGGUUUUAACUCUUGAUAAUUGUCUUGGUUUCUCUUAUAUCUUUUCUCUCUCCUGUGAUGUUUCCUUUGGUUCCUGUGCUUUGUAAAAGACAAUUUAUUUAUGAGCUGAUUUGUUGAGAUCUAUCCAGGAUCUGAUGAUUUGGCCUGCUCCUGAAAGAGGCCUACUACAGGUAAAAUGAGCUUUUUAUUGUGUCACUGCAGGGCCAGGGCACAAAAUAUCAGGCAUAGUUUGAGACUGGAGUAUAAGGCCUAGACUCGACCAAGAAGUUGUAAAAACAGCACAUUUAUUUUCUAGUUAGUGGAUACCUCUGGUCAGUGAGUCCCACCUUUUGCUGAAGCUGCCAUAGGUUCCUGAGCAAAGAAAGUCUAAGUUUUUCCUAGUAACCUAGUAACCAGGUCUGAAUGCACUAGCUGUUUGGUUUUGUGUUUUCUUUUGUUCGAAAGCUGAAACUUGCAUGCUCAUUUCUGAAAUGGCCGAGCAUCUUUGGCCCUGUGGAUGUCCCUUUCCCUCUCAACCUCAACGUCAAGCUGCAUGGAAUUGGCAGUGUAACCCUAAAACAGUUUCACCAUCUGUUACCAUACAGGAACCCACAUUUAGACUGGUGACACUGAUAACACGCCUUUUAUUUUUUCCUUCUUCAAUCAUGCUGAGACCGAGGAUAAUUAUCAUACUUCUUAUAAACCUGUUCUUGUAGCUGAUGCAAAACCUUGUAAAGGCAUGUUAAAAUAACUUGCUUAAGCAUGGUAAUUUUCUAAAAAGUAAGGAUGCUGGAAAACAGAACAAACUCAUUUAAGGAUUCAUAGGAAAAGAGUGCUGGCUAUUUAUAAUCUCAGGAUUUUAAACAGAAUAACGACUCAAAAGUGUGCAGUGAAUUUUGGUUGUGAAGAAAGCAAAGAUGGAAGCUUGAGAAAUCAGCUUCUGAUGUAUUAAAAAUAAAAAUCUGUGAAGUGUCUUUUCUCUGCUUGGACUAAAGAAGCCUUCCAUGUGAUCCUGGCAGAGGCAGAAAGACUUGGUUGACCUGAAUGAAAUAAAUCACUGCUCUUAAUACAAUAUUAGUUUGAAGCAAGCUCUGAAUUCUAACCUCUGUAGGCCUGAGAUAGUCAGUAGUUUGCACAUGCACAGCUGAGAAGCUGUUGAUCUUCUUGUUUAUUUUUUCUGCACUAAUUAUCCUAAUCUUUGUAAAACAUGUUAUUCCAUCUUAUACUCCAUAGAUUAAAGCCAGAAUUACUAAUAAACAGGAUUUUUGCGGCCUUGUUGUAAAAUGCUUGUGGUGUCAUUAGGAGCAGUCGGAGCUCUUUACAUUCCUGACCUAUGACUCAAAAUGGAUGUGUAAUUCAGAAUAAGCACAAUGGUAAGGACUCUCCUAUUCACACUUAGUGUCUUUGAUGGAGAAAGCAAACAUCUUCUUUAUAACACUUCUUAUCAAGUUCAGCUGAGAAAUAGGCUUAAAAAUAUGACUUCUUUUGUACAGUUCCAAGCUUGUUAGCCUUGUUGGCCAGUACUGGCAAUAUUUGAUUUCUCUAUAAUAGAAAUCUUUUUUAAUAGCAUUAGAGUUCUGGCCUCAGAAUUAUGCAGAGAGCUGACAACAACAACAUCUGAGAUCUAAUUCCUGUAUUUUUUUAGGACUACAUCUUUUUCGAGCGUGUCGGCAUAUCAUCACUGGACCCAAACUUCCUAGUUAGAAAGUGGCACUUCCCUGAAGUUCAGCAUGUUUCUUGAGCCCUAUUCAGAAGCUAGUGCUUCCUGUAUGCAGUUUCUGAUGCAAACUGCCUAGCAUAAAUUUUCUGUUUCCAUGGCUGUAUCUGACCAAGGUGUGGACAUUUGCCUUUACAGUCAUCUGUAUCAAUGCAAAAGCAAGAAAUAAGUUCAGAACCUGAGAUAUUUAUGUAAUUGCUACGUGGGGUUUUUUUUGUUAGGUUUUUUGUUUUUUGUUGUUUUUUUUUUUUAGAUUUCCCUUCCCUUCAGUGCUGUUAAUUUAUUUGAUAUAUCACAGCUUGCAGUCUUUCCAAACUGUCUGGUUAUCUCAGUGCAUGACAUCCACUUGUCGCAAGUACAAGUUGUCCCUAAGUAACCCAACAGGUCAUUUCAAACACAGCCUUUCUAAAAGGGAAAGUGUAAUGAAUAGAGUUAGAGACAAUUUGGGAAUCAAAAAUAAAACAGAGCUCACUCACAGAGGCAAAAAAUCCUAAUGGAGCUCUUUAUGUACAGGACAUAAAUCUUGCCGGUUGUAGUCAUUAAGAGACAUGGGUAUCAAGGCCCAGGAGGAGAGAUUUGCUAGACCAUUAAUAACAUAGGCAAAUUACACCCAGCUAUGAAACUGCAAACAGAAUCAGAGUUGUGACACUAUUUGCACAUCGUCACCAUAACCUUGAAAUUAAUCUUUCAUCCUUUAGCAUUCUCAAAUCUAUUGCAAGUAACUUUGCUAUGAUAACAGUUCAGGCAUCUUUCAUGCCAGUGCUCUUUGGUGGCCAUACUGUGAAGAUGUUGAUGAAAAAAGAGAGACCAUUUUAUAUGGAGUUUUUGUGCACAAUGAGUAUUGC